AACUUGCGUUCAAAGACUCGAUGAUUCGCGGAAUUCUGCAAUUCACACUACGUAUCGCAUUUCGCUGCGUUCUUCAUCGUUGCAGGAGCCAAGAUAUCCGUUGCUGAGAGUUGUUAUUAUAUUAUUUUCACAACUCGUGAUGAGGAGGAGGAGGAUGAUGACACUCUCUUCUCUGAGGGUCCAAAUUAUUAUCUCCACAAGUCCUCCCGAGCCGCCCGUGAGGGCGGCCGAAAUUUUUUGGGGAUUUCAUACGAGGAGUCUGUGUGUGUGUGUGUGUGGUGUGUCGCUAGAGUA
rnacentral:rRNA from 1 species